rnacentral:rRNA from 1 species
UACGUAGGGGGCAAGCGUUGUCCGGAAUCAUUGGGCGUAAAGGGCGCGUAGGCGGGUCGUUAAGUUGGGGGUGAAAGCCCAGGGCUCAACCCUGGAAUUGCCUUCAAUACUGGCGACCUUGAGUAUGGCAGAGGUGUGUGGAACUCCGAGUGUAGAGGUGAAAUUCGUAGAUAUUCGGAAGAACACCAGUGGCGAAGGCGACACACUGGGCCAUUACUGACGCUGAGGCGCGAAAGCGUGGGGAGCAAACAGG